rnacentral:rRNA from 1 species
GUGGGGAAUAUUGGACAAUGGGCGAAAGCCUGAUCCAGCCAUGCCGCGUGUGUGAAGAAGGUCUUCGGAUUGUAAAGCACUUUAAGUUGGGAGGAAGGGCAGUAAGUUAAUACCUUGCUGUUUUGACGUUACCGACAGAAUAAGCACCGGCUAACUUCGUGCCAGCAGCCGCGGUAAUACGAAGGGUGCAAGCGUUAAUCGGAAUUACUGGGCGUAAAGCGCGCGUAGGUGGUUUUGUAAGUUGGAGGUGAAAUCCCCGGGCUCAACCUGGGAACUUCCUUCAAAACUUCAUGACUAGAGUACGGUAGAAGGUAGUGGAAUUUCCUGUGUAGCGGUGAAAUGCGUAGAUAUAGGAAGGAACACCAGUGGCGAAGGCGACUACCUGGACUGAUACUGACACUGAGGUGCGAAAGCGUGGGGAGCAAACAGGAUUAGAAACCCGGGUAGUCC